AAAAAUAAGAUACCCACAGACUCUGUACGUGUCACGCAUCUAUUGCUUGCGUUUGUUUUUUUUUGUUGUUUUAUUUUUUUCUGCUUUUGGCUUCUCUCCGUUUCGAAACAAACCAAACGAUGAAGGCAAAAUCGAUAUAACAAAUUUGUUUGACAACCCAAUCGAAGAACUUCGAUUUCAGACAAAAUUGAUGUCUCCUCAUCGUCUUCUUCUUAUCCGAUUCCUUUUUGGUUCUUCUCUGUUAGGUAAGAAGCUGAUUUGGUUGAUAGUAUCAAAGUAAUUGCUGAAUAUUAUUUGCUUCCUUGUCCGCAUACAUCUGGGUUUUGAGUUAAUUCGUUUGUUUCAAUAUGUUUUAAGUCGUAGAAUCUGUUUUGAGUGAAUUUAUUUUGAGCAAUCUGUGUAUUGAGAUGCUAAUUUUGGGUAUUAAUCUUUUGAUUUGUGAGGAAAAAAAUGAAACUUGGGAUUGUAAAGCAGAUGUAAUGAGCUCCAAUGGCUGUGGCGACGGCGGUGGCGACGUCUAUAGCACCAAAAUCUAUUGGAUCGGUCUUGUUGUGGACGUUUUGAUACAGGAUCGGUCUUGUUGUGGACGUUUUGAUGUGUUUUGAUACAGGAUCGAUCUCAAGAGAUGGUUUGAUGUGUUCUUUGCCUUGAGAUCGGUCUCAACCCGUGAUGCUUGAUAGAAAGAGAUGGUAACUUGUGAUGGAGGGAGUUUCGCAACCCGUGAUUCUCGAUAGAAAGAGAUGGUACAAGACAAAAUUUAAACUUAAAUUUAUAACAUUGAAAAUAAACUUAAAACAAAAUUUUAACAAAAUUUAUUUAGGACACCUAUAAUAAAGGAUGACUAAUGGAGGGAGAACAAAUCAAAUACAAAGGAUUAAGGAUCUAAACUUAAUUUAGUAUUAUUUUUAAUCUUAUUAAAUGUUAUAGAUACUAAAGUGAGUAUGAGGGAUGGAGAUGCCCUUAGAGCAUCAUUAAUCGAGAACGACUCAACGUUUCUCAAAAAAACCAAAAAAAAUAUUUUUUUUAUAAAUUAUUAUUAUUUAUUUAUUUCCUCA